rnacentral:rRNA from 1 species
UUCCGGUUGAUCCUGCCAGCGGGCACCGCUAUCGGUAUGCGAUUAAGGCAUGCGAGUCGAGAGGUGCAAGACCUCGGCUGACGGCUGAGUAACACGCGGAUAAUCUGCCCUGGAGUGGGGGAUAAUCUCGGGAAACUGAGGAUAAUACCCCAUAGAUGUGGUAUGCUGGAAUGCUUCCACGUUCAAAGCCCCGGCGCUCCAGGAUGAGUCUGCGGCCUAUCAGGCUGUAGUGGGUGUAACGGACCCACUAACCUACGACGGGUAGGGGCGUUGAGAGACGGAGCCCCCAGAUGGAUUCUGAGACACGAAUCCAGGCCCUACGGGGCGCAGCAGCUACGAAAACUGCACAAUG